AGCAGGAGAUUUCCUGGUUCCCGAGCCCUCGGGGCCCGCGACUGGCGUUUUUUCCUCGGAGCGGCUGAGAACCUGCGAGUUCCCCUCUGGGCCUCCCAGCGUAUCUUAGUUAAGGCGUCCCCGAGGCCUAGCGUGCUGGUUACCAGAGCUUCUAGAAGCGGCUUGCCGGCUCCUGGCAUUUUCCGGGCCAGACUGGUUCUGAGGACGCGUCAGGGAGACCGUUGGACCCAGGUCUAGCGUUGCCUUCGUUCGGCCAGCGCCCGGGAGCUCGACUCCAGAUUCCCUGGGGCUGGAGAAGCCGUUGUUUCGUCCGUCGGGGCCAGAGGUGCAGAUGACUAAGGGGUUGUUUGUCAUCCAGAAUUCUACAGUUUUGUGAUUCUUUUGUGAUUUAUAUUUAAUGAGCAUGUCAAUUUCCAAGAUUAAUCAUGAAAAUUUUGAUUUGGAAGAGACCCUUUGUUUGGAAUAUGUUUGCCCUAGAUAUCUUCAUGGCUUAUUCUCUACCAAAAUGGAUUCUGUGGGACUGCCCUUUUAUUUUGUUAUAAUUGGUCCACUUUAUGGUUUUUUCCUUUCCCUUCAUUUGGAAGAGCUGUUA